rnacentral:rRNA from 1 species
GACGAACGCUGGCGGCGUGCUUAACACAUGCAAGUCGAGCGGUAAGGCCCUUUCGGGGGUACACGAGCGGCGAACGGGUGAGUAACACGUGGGUGACCUGCCCUCAGCUCUGGGAUAAGCCUGGGAAACCGGGUCUAAUACCGGAUAUGACUCCAUGACGCAUGUUGUGGGGUGGAAAGCCUUGUGCGGCUGAGGAUGGGCCCGCGGCCUAUCAGCUUGUUGGUGGGGGAUGGCCUACCAAGGCGACGACGGGUAGCCGGCCUGAGAGGGCGACCGGCCACACUGGGACUGAGACACGGCCCAGACUCCUACGGGAGGCAGCAGUGGGGAAUUUUGGACAAUGGGCGCAAGCCUGAUCCAGCCAUGCCGCGUGCGGGAAGAAGGCCUCGG